AGUGAACGCUGGCGGUAGGCCUAACACAUGCAAGUCGAACGGCAGCACAGUAAGAGCUUGUUCUUACGGGUGGCGAGUGGCGGACGGGUGAGGAAUACAUCGGAAUCUACUUUUUCGUGGGGGAUAACGUAGGGAAACUUACGCCAAUACCGCAUACGACCUACGGGUGAAAGCAGGGGAUCUUCGGACCUUGCGCGAAUGAAUGAGCCGAUGUGGGAUUAGCUAGUUGGCGGGGUAAAGGCCCACCAAGGCGCCGAUCCGUAGCCGGUGUGAGAGGAUGGUAGCCCGCACUAGAGCGUGGACACGGUCCAUGCUCCUACGGGAGGCAGCAGUGGGCAAUGUUGGGCAAUGGGCGCGAGCCUUAUCCAGCCAUCCCGCGCGGGUGAAAAAGGCCUUCGGGUUGUGAAGCCCUUUUGUUGGGAAAGAAAAGCAGCAGGUUAAGACCACGCUGUUCUGACGGUACCCAAUAAAUAAGCACCGGCUAACUUCGUG
rnacentral:rRNA from 1 species